AGUAACAGCACCGGGGUCUCCCAGAUCGCUCAGCUAUUUCGUCGAAUAAUUCAACGUUAAAGACAUGGAGAACUUUCUUGCCAAGUACCUCCUUAUGGGGCUUUCUGCUGCACUUGUUGCACUGAUCAUUGCGCCCUACAGUGCCGAAGCAAUUCCUCCAGGAGUAGUCGAAACUGCCGCAAAUGCACUCUCACAGGCAUUUGGAAGAAACGAGGAAAACGCCAAAGAGUGAGGCCUCUGCCUACGUACUACCCUGCGGCGAUUCUGCGUUGCAUGAAAAUGCAGCCUCAUCGACUUAAAUAAAAUUAAUGAAGCA
rnacentral:lncRNA from 1 species